rnacentral:lncRNA from 1 species
GAGAGUGUGCUUGAGACGUUGCUUGUAAGAAAUUUUGUAUUGUUCGGAUUAUAUUUCAAGCUUUUAAAAAUCUUUUUCUCCGUUGGAAAUGCUUGUAAUAAUCAAAAUUACCAAUAAAAGAAAGAACAUAAUCAUGGUUUUGUGAGAAACUUUCUCAUUAAUGGUUGGCCCAUUCUACUAAAUACCUAAUAAUUCAAUUUCACGACCCCCCU